rnacentral:tRNA from 1 species
UCCCUGGUGUCUCAGUGGUAAAGAAUCUGCCUGCCAAUGCAGGAGAUAUGGGUUCGAUCCCGAUCCAGAAAG